UUUAGUAUUAUUAUUUUAAAUUUUAAAGGCCCACAACAAUAACAUGUUUCGAAUAAAACUUUAAUGAAAUCAAUUUAUUUAUAUAGCAUGUUAACAAUAUACAUAGCCUACAAGAUAUAAUUAUUAACACUAAUUCAAUUUGGGCUCAGAUUUGUUAGAUGAGAUGAGGGCCCAUUAUUAUGCUUGCAAAAAUUAGAGUAAGGGUGAAAGCUGGGUUCUUCAUUUUUUAGGUUAGGAAUUAGGAAGAGAGUUCCAUGCUUCUGCUUUGUGCCGCCAGCCCCCAUAAACGGGAUGAAGAGCUCUGCACUAGCGAGGGGGUAACACGUCAUGGUGGAAGGAGCAGAGCCACUCACGGCAGGGGCUAUUCGCGAUUUGCGCGUUGACUCAGAGCCACCCGACUGUCUCCAUGCCGUUUGGCGAUGACGGUAACGCUCUUCAUUGUCUCGCCGGAAAUACAGAAGUGCGUCCUCGGUUCAGAUGAAGUUGUUUCGGUUCUGGAAGGUCGUGUAACGAGGGAGGGGGUUCUUCUCUUCUGGUCGUGGUUGGGAUCCAUGGUUCUGCAGCUUCGAUGGGGAAGAUGGACCAUUGACCCGAUCCUCUCCUUCUCCUUUUCUGGUCAUCGUACUGACGCGGUUUCCAGCACCACACGGUUAUCUCGCGGUGGUCAGGGGUGCUGGAACAAGUUGACGCCUCUUUUUCUUCUUCUGGUUCACGAUUUGCCAAAUGGGAUGGUGAGGGAUAAAGGGUGAUGAUUUUUAGUUGAUGGGUUAAAGGGAUAAACAUAAUUAUUGAGUUAAUUUACUGGUUGAUGGUUUUAUAUUUCUUAUGCUUAACUACUCGGAUGAAUGUGAUUCUAUUGCAAGGGUUAAAAAUAAUGUUUAUGGAUUCAAUUUAUUCAUUCUUUUUGUUUGCUUAUUAGAGAAACAGUGAAUGUUCAUGAGUUUCCAAUACAUCAAUAGCAUAAUAGUAAAUAAAAAUGUGUUUCUGUUUAUGACAUAAGUGAAUAGCAUAUGACAAUGAAAUGUAUUUGCAUGUGACGAUAUUUUUUUGCCGC
rnacentral:lncRNA from 1 species